GGCUACCUGGCGCAAUGGUAGCGCGUUUGGCUUCGAUUACCGAGCGGCACCAAACCAAAAGGUUGCAGGUUCGAGUCCUGCGGUGGUCA